rnacentral:lncRNA from 1 species
GUCGUUCUUCUGCGCUGCGCCAGGAGCUGCAAGCACAGGCAUCCAUCGCCCCUGCUUCGUCCGGCAUCCCGGUGAGCGGGUCCAAGGGCCAGGGGUAUAGUCCUGCGGGGCUCUACGCUGUGGGGUGCGGGACCGGGGCAUCACGCGCAGCCUCGCUGCCGGGAGCGCUCAUCGGACCCGCCCGGGAACUUGGGAUGCGCUGGACUCUGACGAUGCAGACCUCGCUGACCUUGGUGGCGUCCAGGGAAAGUCUCGGGGGUCCCAAGUGGUUUGCAGGUCCCUGGCGGCCGGUGUUUAAAUCUCCUCUGACCCCGCUCUUCCCUGCAGCCCGCUGCCGCCGCCAUGCCCUUCUCCAACAGCCAUAAUACGCAGAAGCUGCGCUUCCCGGCCGAGGAUGAGUUCCCUGAUCUGAGCAGCCACAACAACCAUAUGGCCAAGGUGCUGACCCCGGAGCUGUACGCCGAGCUCCGUGCCAAGUGCACGCCGAGCGGCUUUACUUUGGACGACGCCAUUCAGACUGGCGUAGACAAUCCGGGUAUGCACACCCCUGUAGCGUCAGGCUUCCGCCUCCCCAAGAAGCCCCCCGGGCAAGGAUCCCACUGCUCUUCCCUGAACCUUCGGUGGGCUGGGGUCCCCUGUUCCCCUCUCCGCGCUUAGCCUUAAGAGCCUCGGCUUGCUCCUGCCUGACGGUGACGUCACUGUCGCCGCGCCCCUCCUCCAGGCCACCCGUACAUCAUGACUGUGGGUGCAGUGGCGGGCGACGAGGAGAGUUACGACGUAUUCAAGGACCUCUUCGACCCCAUUAUUGAGGAGCGGCACGGCGGCUACCAGCCCAGUGAUGAGCACAAGACCGACCUCAACCCAGACAACCUGCAGGUGCGGGGAAUCAGGGUCCGGGCGUGCUGGGGAGAGGGGUCUCGGCGCUCACUCUAGCCACCACCUUGUAUUCCCAGGGUGGCGAUGACCUGGACCCCAACUACGUGCUGAGCUCGCGAGUGCGCACAGGCCGCAGCAUCCGCGGCUUCUGUCUCCCCCCGCACUGCAGCCGCGGGGAGCGCCGCGCCAUCGAGAAGCUGGCAGUAGAAGGUAGGGGUCGGGUAACAGCCUCCAGAGCUGCUGCGCUCUUCUCUGCGCGCGCGUUCCCACUGGGGACUGAGGGUCGAAGACCCACCUUCGCCCGCGGGGACACACUGCUGCAGGCGGGGCGGCGGGCUUGCUCGCCCGCCCACCCUGUCCUUGAACUCUGCACUCCGCAGCUCUGUCCAGCCUAGAUGGCGACCUGUCUGGCAGGUACUACGCGCUCAAGAGCAUGACUGAGGCGGAGCAGCAGCAGCUCAUUGACGACCACUUCCUCUUCGAUAAGCCUGUGUCGCCUCUGCUGCUGGCCUCCGGCAUGGCCCGGGACUGGCCGGAUGCUCGUGGCAUAUGGUACGAGCCCCCCCCCCCCCCCAGUCCCUAGAAGGUGGGGCCUGCCCUGAAUUCCUAGUUUGUGCAGUGCCUCCCUCCGCCCAGGUGACCUUGGUUCUGCGGAUGACUGUGGUCCUUGCGCUGCGGGAGGCCGCAGUCUCCAGGGACUCAAGGGUGGUGACCAGUCUCUUUGGCGUCUGUUCUCCGCCCUCCUCCUGGGAGCCGGCGCUUCUUGUUUUCUCUCCACCUUCUCACCCCCUUAUUCCGCCGGGAUCGUGCCAGGUGCCAAUGACGCAAAAGCCUCCGCACCCGUCCGGGCAGGGCUCCUACCCCUGCAGACUGAGCGGGCGGAGGCGUGCUUCCUCUGGUGGGAUGCUCUGGAGGCUCCAGACCCUUGCGGGCCACACAGCACAUGACUGGUGAUUGAGAUGUAUAUGAGCUGCCUUCCUCCACUGUUGCUGGGAUUGGCGUCUUGGUGACAGCUCACAUUCCAGCACUUUGUUGAGGAAGCAUUUUGUUUGAGGUCACCCACCUAUAGUGUCUUUCUUGGGUGUGAUCUAAGGCCACAUUCUGGCAGGGACUCCAGCCUGACUUUACCCCUCUUCUAGGCACAAUGACAAUAAGACUUUCCUGGUGUGGAUUAACGAGGAGGACCACCUGCGAGUCAUCUCCAUGCAGAAGGGGGGCAACAUGAAGGAAGUGUUCACCCGAUUCUGCACCGGCCUCACUCAGGUCAGGCCUGGGCAUUCCCCAGGGCUUCCUCACUAGGGGCGUUGGUGCUGGGGAGGGAUCAGGGGCAGAUCAGAGCCCACAUCUCCCAGGGUCCGUAGGGCUUCCGGCCAGGCUUCCUUCUCUUAACUCUCCCUUCUCCACCUUCAGAUCGAAACUCUCUUCAAGUCCAAGAACUAUGAGUUCAUGUGGAAUCCUCACCUGGGCUACAUCCUCACAUGCCCAUCCAACCUGGGCACCGGACUGCGGGCAGGUGUGCACAUCAAGCUGCCCCACCUGGGGAAGCACGAGAAGUUCUCGGAGGUGCUCAAGCGGCUGCGGCUUCAGAAGCGAGGCACAGGUGAGGGGCAGAAGGCACAGGUGAGGGGCAGAAGGUGCAGGUGUUGUCCUCAGCCCCGCUGACCUGCCCAUGUCCCACCGCAGGUGGCGUGGACACCGCUGCUGUCGGUGGGGUGUUUGAUGUCUCCAACGCUGACCGCCUGGGCUUCUCGGAGGUGGAACUGGUGCAGAUGGUGGUGGACGGAGUGAAACUACUCAUUGAGAUGGAGCAACGGCUGGAGCAGGGUCAGGCAAUCGAUGACCUCAUGCCGGCCCAGAAGUGAAGCCUGGCCCUCGCCACCAUCAGGCUGCCGCUUCCUAACUUAUUAACCGGGCAGUGCCCGCCAUGCAUCCUUGAUGUUUGCCGCCUGGCGGCUGAGCCCUUAGCCUCGCUGUAGAGACUUCUGUCGCCCUGGGUAGAGUUUAUUUUUUUGAUGGCUAAGCUGUUGCUGACACUGAAAAUAAACUAGGGUUUGGCCUGCCCU